AGAUUCAAAUUUGUUAAAGAAAUAAUGGAAAUAUUCCCUUUCAUGUUUUAACUUCCUUUCUUCUCAGUUUCCUAUCUCCUAUUCCUGUCUCUUAUUCCAGCACAGUCUGUAUUCAUGUUGAUUCCCUGGAAAGGCUGUCCUUGGCCAGUGUUUCCUACAGUUGUCUGUUUUUUUCUUUUUCCUUACAGUGCUGCCAAAAUUUGAAGUGAUCUUUGAGACACCAGUGGUGAUUUAUGUACUAGAUAAAACUUUUCCACUUCGGGUAUGUGGCAGAUACAGCUAUGGGAAAGCUGUCCAGGGGAUGGUUUAUGUGAGCCUUUGUCAGAAGACAUCCCAGUUCUUGCCCAGUGCUUCUAAACCUGAUCUCUGUCAGGAAUUCAACAACCAGACAGACAAGAUGGGUUGCUUCUUCACAAAUGUGACCCUAUCCUUCAGCCGAGACUUGAGGUACUAUCGGGACAGCAUAGUUGCAGAGGCCUCACUGUUGGAGGAUGGCACAGAGAUUCAGGUCAAUGCUUCCCACAAAUUACUCAUCUCCAAGAUUGGCGGGAUGGCCUUGUUUGAUGAUGUGAAUUCUUACUAUCACACUGGAGAGAUGUACAGAGGGAAGGUAAUUCCCAGUUAUGGUCUUUUGGAGAAGACAGCAUGAGAAAUGCCUUCACAGAGUCUGCUUUUCCAACCCCAUCUCUAGCAAGGGCUGGAAUAUUCAAAAGUGAGAAAAACAUCCAAGACCUUCAUUUGCCAAAUAAACCUUGAGUAAUAAUAGCUCUGGGCA
rnacentral:lncRNA from 1 species